GAGACAGAAGGUAGGUUUGUGGUUGCUGG
rnacentral:piRNA from 1 species